UACAGAGGGAGCAAGCGUUGUUCGGAAUCACUGGGCGUAAGCGCACGUAGGCGGGUUCUUAAGUCAGGGGUGAAAUCCUGGAGCUCAACUCCAGAACUGCCUUUGAUACUGGGAAUCUCGAGUCCGGGAGAGGUGAGUGGAACUGCGAGUGUAGAGGUGAAAUUCGUAGAUAUUGCAAGAACACCAGUGGCGAAGGCGGCUCACUGGCCCGGUACUGACGCUGAGGUGCGAAAGCGUGGGAG
rnacentral:rRNA from 1 species